rnacentral:rRNA from 1 species
AUAAGGCCGGAUAGUUCACAAUGCCUGGAACGGUUUGUGGAUUAAGGUAGGAUGGUUCUGCGGCGUAUCAGGUCGUAGGGGGUGUAACGGACCCCCUAGCCAUCGACGCGUACGGGUGUUGGGAGACAUAGCCCGGAGAUGGAUUCUGAGACACGAAUCCAGACCCUACGGGGUGCAGCAGGCGCGAAAACUUCACACUGCAGGAAACUGUGAUGAGGGAACUCCAAGUGUGUGCACUAUUGUGUACACUUUUAUGAACUAUUAAUCGGUUCAAGAAUAAGGGCUGGGAAAGACCGGUGCCAGCCGCCGCGGUAAUACCGGCAGCUCAAGUGGUCGUCGCUUUUAUUGGGCCUAAAACGUCCGUAGCCUGUUUGGUAAAUCUGUGGGUAAAUCAACCAGCUUAACUGGUUGAAUUCUGCAGAGACUGCCAGACUAGGGACCGGGAGAGGUGUGGGGUACUCGAGGGGUAGGGGUAAAAUCCUGUCAUCCUUCGAGGACCACCAGUUGCGAAGGCGCCACACUGGAACGGAUCCGACGGUCAGGGACGAAGCCUAGGGGCACGAACCGGAUUAGAUACCCGGGUAGUCCUAGGUGUAAACGCUGUGAACUUGGUGUCGGGGGUCCGCAAGGGGUCCCCGGUGCCGGAGUGAAGAUGUUAAGUUCACUGCCUGGGGAGUACGGUCGCAAGGCUGAAACUUAAAGGAAUUGGCGGGGGAGCACUGCAACGGGAGGAGCGUGCGGUUUAAUUGGACUCAAC